AUUGAACGCUGGCGGCAGGCCUAACACAUGCAAGUCAAGCGAGCGGCGGACGGGUGAGUAAUGUCUGGGAAACUGCCUGAUGGAGGGGGCUAACUACUGGAACCGGUAGCUAAUACCGCAUACCAUCAGAUGUGCCCCGAUGGGAUUAGCUGGUAGGUGGGGUAACGGCUCACCUAGGCGACGAUCCCUAGCUGGUCUGAGAGGAUGACCAGCCACACUGGAACUGAGACACGGUCCAGACUCCUACGGGAGGCAGGAGGGGGGAAUAUUGCACAGUGGGCGAAAGCCGGAUGCAGCCAUGCCGCGUGUGUGAAGUAGGCCUUCGGGUUGUAAAGCACUUACAGCGGGGAGGCGUUACCCGCAGAAGAAGCACCGGCUAACUACGUGCCAGCCGCCGCGGUAAUUC
rnacentral:rRNA from 1 species